rnacentral:rRNA from 1 species
UACAGAAGAUCCAAGCGUUGUCCGGAUUUAUUGGGUUUAAAGAAUGCAUAAACGGACUUAUAAGUCAGAGGUGAAAGCCGGUAGCUUAACUAUCGAAUUGCCUUUGAAACUGCAAGUCUUGAAUUUUGUUGAGGUAGGCGGAAUGUAUCAUGUAGCGGUGAAAUGCAUAGAUAUGAUACAGAACACCGAUUGCGAAGGCAGCUUACUAAGCAAAUAUUGACGCUGAGGCACGAAAGCGUGGGGAUCAAACAGG